GACGAACGCUGGCGGCGUGCUUAACACAUGCAAGUCACGGGGGUCCCGCAAGGGAUAACCGGCGAACGGGUGCGUAACACGUGAGCAACCUGCCGUACUCAGGGGGAUAGCCGGCCCAACGGCCGGGUAAUACCGGCAUACGAUCUUGUGGGGGAGUCCCCAUGAGAGGAAACCUCCGGGGGAGUACGAGGGGGCUCGCGGCCUAUCAGCUAGUUGGUGCGGUAACGGCGCACCAAGGCGACGACGGGGUAGCGGUCUGAGAGGAUGGCCAGCCACCAUUGGGACUGAGAGACGGCCCAGACUCCUACGGGAGGC
rnacentral:rRNA from 1 species